UGGGGAAUAUUGGACAAUGGGCGAAAGCCUGAUCCAGCAAUGCCGCGUGAGUGAUGAAGGCCCUAGGGUUGUAAAGCUCUUUUACCAGGGAUGAUAAUGACAGUACCUGGAGAAUAAGCUCCGGCUAACUCCGUGCCAGCAGCCGCGGUAAUACGGAGGGAGCUAGCGUUGUUCGGAAUCACUGGGCGUAAAGCGCACGUAGGCGGCUAUUCAAGUCGGGGGUGAAAGCCCGGGGCUCAACCCCGGAACUGCCCUCGAAACUAGAUAGCUAGAAUCUUGGAGAGGCGAGUGGAAUUCCGAGUGUAGAGGUGAAAUUCGUAGAUAUUCGGAAGAACACCAGUGGCGAAGGCGACUCGCUGGACAAGUAUUGACGCUGAGGUGCGAAAGCGUGGGGAGCAAACAGG
rnacentral:rRNA from 1 species